AUUGAACGCUGGCGGCCGGCCUAACACAUGCAAGUCGAACGAGUGGCGGACGGGUGAGUAAUGUCUGGGAACCUGCCUGAUGGAGGGGGAUAACUACUGGAAACGGUAGCUAAUACCGCAUCCCAUCAGUUGUGCCCAGAUGGGAUUAGCUAGUUGGUGGGGUAACGGCUCACCAAGGCGACGAUCCCUAGCUGGUCUGAGAGGAUGACCAGCCACACUGGAACUGAGACACGGUCCAGACGCCGACGGGAGGAAGCAGUGGGGAAUAUUGCACAAUGGGCGAAAGCCUGAUGCAGCAAUGCCGCGUGUAUGAAGAAGGCCUUCGGGUUGUAAAGUACUUUCAGCGGGGAGGCGUUACCCGCAGAAGAAGCACCGGCUAACUCCGUGCCAGCAGCCGCGGUAAUAC
rnacentral:rRNA from 1 species